CUCAACACAAAGUCCACCUGCUCCGAGAGUUCACGAGAUCCAAAUGCCAGGGACACUGCUGAGAAACUUGGUAGCUAAUAAAUCAUUAAACCAACCAGGAAGGGAAAAGACCAAGCGCCUUGCAGCAAAUAGAAAGUCCAGUGAAGCUCUGAACGCUUACCAGAAAGUGAGUAAGUACGUCCACCGUGUGCAAGGAGGAUAGAACAGCUGCGUCUCGGGAGAGCCCUGAGCUGUGUUUAAGACGAAGAACAAGGCCGGCAGCUUGCUGGGGAGGAGGAAAGCGACCCAGCUGACGUCCUGGGGAAAUCAUCUUUGGAUGGUGGCACCAUCACUGGGCUCCAAACAGGUGCUCCCAAGGUCGCCUGGAUCCAAAGCCACCGGACCUGGUUUCUGAAAAGAGCGAGACACAGCCCUGGCGUCUGGGCCCUGCUCAGGCUGAUUCCUCAGAAAGCCAAAUCCCACUGAGAGUCGCCUGCCGGGGAACCAAGCACAGAUGCGACGCCGUUGAUCUUUCAUCCCCACCCCAGGAAACAGUCAUUCCCAAACAAGACUAGUUUCAUCUCAGAGUUUCUCCCCUCCAGAGCCCGCUGGACUCGGGUGCUGGCUGCAGGCCAGCUCCGAAAGUGACAGCAGCCACGCAGACCCAGAUGAAGUCAAGCUCCCCAUGCGAGGCCCAUCCAGGGGUCGAGGUGCAGCAAGGUCACCAUACAGCCCAGGUGCACCUCAGGGGCCCCCAUGGUGCCCUGGGCGCUGUUCCAUGUGCUGGAGAAGCAAGUGGACACUCUCUCCCCGCCGUCGCCCACACCCCUUCUCCAGCCUCAAAGGCUCCCACAUCCCGGGAGCACCCGCAGCACAAAUGCCAUCUGUGAAACGCUCUCUCCUGUCAGGGAUGCAGUGUGGUUAGACAGAAAUGAGACACUGAGAAGCUUGUGGGACAGAGAAAGAGUGAGGGAGAGACAGAGAUGGAGAGAGAUAGAGAGGGAGAGACAGAGAGAGACAGAGAGACAGGGACAGAGAGGGAGAGACAGAGAGAGAGAGAGACAGGGACAGAGACAAAGAAAAACAGAAAGAGACAGAGAGACAAAGAGAGACAGGGACAGAGAAAGAGAGAGACAGAGACAGAUAGAGACAGGGAGAGACCAGGGAGAGACAGAAACAAAGACAGAGAGAAACAGAAAGAGACAGAGAAACAGAGACAGAGAGAAGCAGAGAGACAGAGAGGGAGAGACAGAAACAGAGUGACAGAGACAGACAGAGACAGAGAAACAGAGACAAAGACAGAGAAACAGAGACAGAGAGAGGCUGAGAGACGGAGAGACUCAGACUCCUCCCCGUGGACCCCUCAUCAUCCCAAGGAGAUCGCAAGCUUUUCAGAUCCGGGCUCCUAUUUCGCAGCCAGCUUUGCAGCAUACAAAGAAAGCGUUCAAAUAUUUCUGAGCUCCAGAGGCCAAAAGAGCGGUGUGAAACAGAACAAGCAAUGGGAAGUCUACAGUGGAGUCACCAGCCUCCCGGGCUGGGGCAAUGGAGCCUGGUCACCGGUUGCAUGCCCAGCACAACGGCCAGGUAGAGGGGCCCCAGGCCGCUCUGGGAACCCUCCCUUGACACUGCCCCCAAGCCACAGGCUCACUGGACAGCAGGAUGCUGGUAAGCAGGGCUCCCUAAGGGUUAAGCAGGAAAGUGAAUCCCAAGGCUCUGGGUCAAACAUUCCACAGCAGUAGCUCGGCAGUGGGGAAAGGUUUUCUCCCUGUGGCUAAGGUGCCACGCUAUGGGAAAGGGAUUCAGUGUGAUCCAUGUGAGUCCCAAGGGUGCUGCGGGAUCAAUGACCAGAACUACCAGAAAUGCAGGCUUUGACUCAGUUCAGGGAAACCAGCUUUCCAGCAAUUAGUAAGUUCCAGUAAGAAGCCAAGUGUGGUGGUGCACAGCUGUAAUCCCAGCACUGGGGAGGCUGAGGCAGGAGGAUCACCACAAUUUCUAGGCCAGCCUGGGCUACAAAGUGAGUUCAAGGCCAUUGUGAAUUGCAUAGUGAAAAUUUGUCUCAAAAAGACAAAAAAGAAGAAAGACAAGACAAGACAAGAAAAAAUUCAAGUAAGGCCUGGGGCUGCCUGGGCAAACCCCAAGUUUCUCAAACCUAAACACUUCCUGAGAGGUCCUGACCGGCACCACAGAGGAGACGAUUUUUAAGGUCACUCCCAGCCAAGCACGAUGGCACACAUCUCAGCCCCAGCUGCUCAGGAGGCUGAGGCAAGAGAGUCAUCAUGAGUUCAAGGCCACAAUGGGCAACUUAGUAAAACUUCAUUUCAAUAAUAACAACAAUAAUAAUAAUAACCUGGCUCCAACCCGUUAGAAAGGCAGCCUUGCCAGCAGCUCUAGCUCAUCGGGUGUCUUCUGUAAUCAGAGUUUCACAGAGCAAACUCCAAAACCCAUCCCUAGAAAACAGCAUCCUGAGUCCAGGCGGGGACUUGCCAGCUCCCUGCCAAGGCAGCCCCUUGGACAGUGGCCUCCUCCAGGGGAACCCGACACGGGCUCGCUCGCACCUCAGGCAAGCGAGAGGAACAAAGCCCGGGCUUGUUUCAUCUGCCAACCCAAUCUCAUUCACAAAAACGCUUCUACACUGUUUUAAGACACUAAAAAUUACAUGUUCCAACACUCGUUCCCCCUCUUCUGGCCGCUCUGGGCUCCCACCUAAGAUAACUCGUUCUUCCAA